AGAAUUCUAUUAAUUUAGAAAGCAUUGAAUAUGAAAAAGCCUAUACAAAUGAUAACUUUCAUACAUUAUCUGACUAUUUUGAUAAACAGGAUAAUAAAAGAUUUAAUGAGUUAAAAUAUCAUGGGGGUGACGAUGAAAAUGGUUAUGGUACUGAUGGUUUUGAUAUGAAUUUUCAAAUGUUAGAUAAUAAAAACAGCGUUAACAAUAUUACAGAAUCUUUUAAAGCAAUGUCAAAAGAACAACAGAAAAAAAAAAAUGUAAAAAAUGAACUUAUGUUAUAUGAUUUACAUUUGACUACUUUAUAUCAAAAAUUGGAAAUCAGUUCAAAAAAAAGUAAAAAGAUAACUAAGAAAAAAUUAAAGGGUAAAAAAAAAAGAGAAAUUGGAUAAAACAACAUUUAAUUCUUUAAAAUUAAAUGCUUCAAAAUCUUAUAAAACAUCAGGUGAACUAUACUUAAAAAAGACAACUUAUAAAAAAAGUAAAAAUCUGAAAUUAAAAAAUAGAGAUAAAAAAAAAGACAACAAGGGGAAGAACAGUUUAUUGAAUAAUUCUACAACACAUUCUAAAAGUUCUUUAUUAACACAUAGUGAAACUAUUUCAAAAUAUUUUAGGAUGUAUUCAUCAAAAAAUACAUCUGAAAUGAAACUGUUUCAAUCCAAAUUUCCUAAAAGAUUAGCUAAAAAAGAGGACACCCAUCCGUAUAAUAUUGGAUGUAUGUAUAUGAAUAGUAAUAUAGAAACGAAUUCAAAAGAAUUAUUAGAUAAAGAAUCACUUGAUAAUGAAUUAUUGAAUAGUUCCCAAAGUAUUGUACAUUUAAAAGAUUUAAAUGAUAAUAUUAACGAUAUUGAUUAUUAUAAAAAAUUAAUUGAUAAUUUAGAAGGAAAUAUUGCAGAAGCAAAAAAAAAAAAAAAGUAUAACUUCUAUGGAUAAUAUUUUACAAAUUAUAAAUUAUUUGAUGCAUUAUUAUAUACCAAAAAUAAUUAAUAUAUAUGAAUAUUACAUGAAUAAUUUAGAUGAAAAAAACAAAAUAUUGAAACAAAAAAUUAAAGAAUCUUUAGAUUUUGGAGAUGUUCAAUAUGAAGAAAUAAGAGAAAUGAAGACUCAAAUGAUUCAAAAAAAUAAUGAGAUUAAAAAAUUACAUGACACGAUUACAAUAUUAAAAGAUAAAUUAUCAUCUACAAAUGAACUUGAAUUAAAAAAUUUCGAAUAUUUAGAUGAAAUUGUGCUUUUAAGAAAUAGAGUAGAAUAUUUAGAAAAACUUUUAACAGAAAAUAAUAAAACUAAAGAAUCACGUGAACUUACAAUUGUCCGUCGUAAUAUGUAUAAAUCACUUGUUAAAAUGAAAGGAGAAAUGAAAUUUAUAAAUGCAUUAAAACGGAAGUAUAUAAAAAGAUUUAAAAAAAGAAAAUUUAAUACAACUAAGUGGUUAGAUUUAAAGCGUAAAAUGGAAUCAAGUGAAACAUUAACGAUGGGAGAUAAUAUGUAUAAUAAUGAUUAUUUAUCACGUGGAUUUAAUACUAUGAAAUAUAAUAAUUUUCACGAAACGAAUAUUUUAUCAAGAGGAAGUAUAAAAAUAGUUAAGGAAUGUGUAGACAAAUGUGUUGAUACUAGUGAUAUAUAUAUUAUGAACGAUAAUGAUGAGUCAUAUAAUGACACAAAAAAAGGAAAUGAAGUAGAUUUAAAAGAAAAUGAAAAAAAAAAAAUUGAGACAAAAAAUAAAAAAGUUAAUACAAUAUUAAGCAAUCAUACAUUUUUAAAAUUAUUAGAAAAAGACAAAACAAAAAGUGUUGAAAAAGAAAAGGUAUGUAGUUUAAUACCUAAAGAAAGUUAUCCAUAUUAUCAUUAUUUUUAUAGUAAUGUAAUGAAUAAACCGAAAGAUAAGAAUUAUAGAGAUUUUACAAAUAUUAUUUCAUUAAAUAUUAAUGAACAGCUUAAGUACAUAGAUAAUAUUAAAAAUAAGGAUGAUAUUUAUAUAACAUUAGAUGGUAACUUUUCUAAUUCUUUUGAUGAAGAGAAUUUUUAUAAAUGCAAAGAUAAAAUGGUUGAUGACAUAAAACUUGAUCAUGAUGGUGCUAUUACAAAUAAUGGUGAAAACAUCAGUUUGAACAAUAAUAAUAAUAAUUACAGUAGCUACAAGAAUUACAACAAUGACAACCGCUACAACAAUAACAAGAUGAGUAAUUUUGGUUUGCCUCAAGAAGGGUUACCAAUUCGAAAACCUUAUGAUUGUUAUAUAAACAAGUCUAACAAUACAUUUUAUAAUAAAAAUUUUGGUUGUUGCUAUAAAAAUAAACCAACAUCAGAUGAAUCCAUUAAUUAUUCCUCUUGUUUUACGUCAAAAAUAUUAUGUUGUGAUAAAGAAAAUAUACUUGAUGUAAGCAAAAAUGAACCGAAUAUUUUAAACGAUAACUUAUUGAUAAAUAAAAAGGUAAAAAAGAUUGGGGAAAACAAUUUCUCAGAUUCUUGUAACAAUAAUAAACAUAGUUUUAAAAAUGAAAGUAAAUGCUUUGAAAGUAGUGGAAGAUUAGAAAAAUCAAAUAUAUAUGAUGACAUUCUAAUAAAUAGGAAUGAAGAUUUGGAUAAAAUAAAAAAUUUUGUACAUGCAUAUAAGAAUUAUAUUAUUGGACAUAAGAGUAAUAAUAUUAACAAUAAAAUGGAUAUUCCAGAAAUUCGAAUAAAUAUGAACAAAGUUGUUUUUGAUAAAAGCGCUUCUGUAGUAGAAUCAGUAUAUAAAGAAACAAAAAAACAAGAUAUCAGUGGUAAUGACAGUGGUAAUAACAGUGGUAAUAACAGUNNNNNNNNNNACAGUGGUAAUAACAGUGGUAAUAACAGUUGUAAUAAUAAUGGUGAUGGGGGUGGUGGACAGAAAUAUACUUGUUUGAGUGAAAGUAUAAUGUCACAAAAUUCGAACAUAAAUACAUUAAACGAACAAAACAAAUACAUGUUUUAUCAUACUAAUAAUUAUUAUAAUAACUGUAGUAAUAUGAAUCCUUACUACAACAUAGUAUACAAUAUGAAAAAUGUAAAUCAUAAUAUGAAUGUUCAAAAUGAAUUAAUAACUCAUACAAACAAUUUAAAAAAUGUAAGAGACCAAAGUAAACAAUUUCCUUUUAUAUCUAAAUUAAAAACAAUUAAUUCAGAAAAGGUUACACCAACUAAUAGUAGUAGUAAUAAUAACACAUAUACAAAUUAUAUUUAUGAACCAAAGUAUAACAUUGAAAACUCAAAUUUCGAAAAAACAGAAGAUAAUAUAUCUCUUAAUAAAUGUAAUAAAUGUAAUAAAUAUAAGUCAUAUUUUACAGGUGAUGGAACUUUGAAAUAUAUUAAUCCGUAUAAUCAGACUUUAGAUAUAGAUUUAAAAAAUUUUAAUGAAAUUAAUGGUUAUUUACGUG
ensembl:lncRNA